rnacentral:rRNA from 1 species
UACGUAGGGUGCAAGCGUUAGUCGGAAUUACUGGGCGUAAAGCGUGCGCAGGCGGCUUUGCAAGACAGAUGUGAAAUCCCCGGGCUUAACCUGGGAACUGCAUUUGUGACUGCAUGGCUGGAGUGCGGCAGAGGGGGAUGGAAUUCCGCGUGUAGCAGUGAAAUGCGUAGAUAUGCGGAGGAACACCGAUGGCGAAGGCAAUCCCCUGGGCCUGCACUGACGCUCAUGCACGAAAGCGUGGGGAGCAAACAGG